CCGGCCCCCAGCACGCACAGCACCCUCGCACUCGGAAGGACGCACGCAGGCGCCGCCCGCCCGCCCGAGCGCCGCCUCCCGCCGGCAAGGAGGAGCGCCGGCUGCAAUCUCCGUGUCAUCUUGGUUGCGGAACGUGGGGCAUCUUCUUCAACACCGGCCAUUGCUGCAGGCGGCAAUGAGCAACCUGCAAAACCCGUAGCGGCCCAACCCCCUCUCAGCUCCCCGGUGCCGGCCGUCCUCGCCGCCUGCCGGCCCCAACCAACCCGCGCCCACCGCCGCUGUCAACCAACUCCCGUUCCUGACCCUCACCCACCCCACUCCACGCCGCAGCGCGCCCUGCACUUGCCAGCCCCCACCGGCGCAUUCGGCGUCGUCCUUCCCUCUCAUGCCCGGGCCACUUGCCUCCCCACGCCGACAUGUCCCGCAGCGCGAGCGCCGCCCGCGUCGGUGCUUGGAGCUGGAGCGCGCCAUCGCUGGCCGCGUCCGCUCGGGAAGCCUCGGCCUCGACGACGCCGUCAAGAUGUUCGACGAAUUGCUCCCCCACGCCAGGCCGGCCUCGGUUCGCGCCUUCAACCAGCUCCUCACCGCCGUCUCUCGCGCCCAGGGCAGGGGCUCCUCCUCCUCUGAGCUCGUCCCCUCCCUCUUCAACCGGAUGGCCCGUGCUUGCUCCGACAAGGUAGCUCCCGACCUGCACACCUACAGCAUCCUCAUCAACCGCUUCUGCCGCAUCGGACGCCUGGAGCUUGGUUUCGCCGCCUUUGGCCUCAUCCUUAAGACAGGCUGGAGGGUGAAUGGCAUAGUCAUCAAUCAACUGCUCAAAGGUGUCUGUGACAGAAAGUGCGUGUCUGAGGCCAUGGACAUAUUGCUCCGACGAAUGCCUGAGUUUGGCUGCACGCCAGAUGUAGUUUCAUACAGCACAGUUCUAAAGGGUUUAUGCAACGAAAAGAGAGCUGAGGAGGCACUUGAGCUGCUCCACAUGAUGGCCGAUGAUGGAGGUGGUAGCUGCCCACCAAAUGUCGUGGCGUACACCACCGUCAUCAAUGGCUUGUUUAGAGACGGUCAGGUGGACAAAGCUUACAACCUAUUUCGUGAAAUGGAUGACCGGGGGAUUUCGCCGACUGUUGUGACCUACACCACAGUCAUUGAUGGCCUGAGCAAAGCUCAAGCAGUUGACAGGGCCCAGGGUGUCCUUCAGCAGAUGAUUCAUAAAGGUGUCAAGCCAAACAAUUGGACAUAUAAUUGUCUGAUCCAUGGAUAUUGCUCUUCAGGACAGGGGAAAGAGGUGGUUCGAAUGCUCAAAGAAAUGUCCGCGCAUGGUCAUAAGCCAGAUACUGUCACUUGUACUUUGCUGCUGGAUCACCUUUGCAAGAGUGGAAGAUGCACAGAGGCUAGAAAGAUUUUUGAUUCUAUGAUUGAAAAGGGCACAAAACCUGAUGUAACUACAUAUGGCGUUCUGCUUCAUGGUUAUGCUACCAAAGGAGCUCUUUCUGAUAUGCAUGGCCUCUUGGAUUUGAUGGUAGAAAAUGAUGUUUCACCUGACCAUCAUAUCUUUAACAUAGUUCUCUGUGCGUAUGCUAAAGGUGGUAUGAUAGAUGAGGCAAUGCAUAUAUUUGACCAAAUGAGGCAGCAAGGGUUGAGUCCUAAUGUAGUCAGCUAUGCAGCAUUAAUAGAUGCACUUUGCAAGUUGGGAAGAGUGGAUGAGGCAAUGCUUAAAUUCGAUCAGAUGAUCCAUGAAGGGGUGACUCCUGGUAUCGUUAUUUUUAGCUCACUAGUUUAUGGACUGUGCACUGUUGACAAAUGGGAGAAGGCCGAGGAAUUAUUUUCUGAAAUGCUGAAUCAAGGGAUCCAUCCCGAUGCCACGUUCUUCACCACAAUAAUGCGUAACCUCUGCAAUGGAGGAUGGGUCAUGGAAGCUCAGAGUCUCCUUGACUUGAUGGUACAUGUAGGUGUGAGACCUAAUGUUAUCUCAUAUACUACAUUAAUAGAUGGCUACUGCUUAGCUGGUAGGAUGAAGGAAGCUAUGAAGUUACUUGAUGCUAUGGUCCGAGUUGGCUUGAAACCAAAUACCGUUUCUUUUAAUACUUUGCUUCAUGGCUAUUGUAGAGCUGGCAGGAUAGAGGAAGCUGUGAAGUUACUUGAUGCUAUGGUCCGAGUUGGCUUGAAACCAGAUACCGUUUCUUUUAGUACUUUGCUUCAUGGCUAUUGUAGAGCUGGCAGGAUAGAUGAUGCAGUUAGACUAUUCAGAGAAAUGUUGAGCAAUGAAGUUAAGCCUGGAAUUGUCACUUAUAACAUUGUACUUCAUGGUUUGUUUCAGUCUGGGAAGUUUUCUGAAGCAAAAGAACUCUAUCUCAAUAUGAUCAAAAGUGGAAUGCAGCUGAACAUUUACACGUACAACACAAUUCUGAAUGGUCUUUGCAAAAAUAAAUGUGUUGAUGAGGCAUUUAAAAUAUUUCAGAGUCAAUGUUCUAAGGAUUUUCAACUUGACAUCAUUACCUUCAAUAUUAUGAUCGAUGCUUUGCUCAAAAGUGGCAGAAAGGAAGAUGCUAUGGAUAUGUUCACUGCUAUCUCUGCCCAUGGUUUAGGUCCACAUGUUGUGACCUAUCGCUUAAUGAUAGAAAAUCUCAUAAAAGAAGGGUUGCUAGAAGAGUCUGACAAUCUGUUUUCAGCAAUGGAAAAGAGUGGAUGCAGUCCAGACUCAUGUAUGCUAAAUGCUCUAGUUAGGAGGCUGUUGCAUAGAGGUGAGAUAAUGAGGGUUGGGGUUUACCUCUCCAAAAUUGAUGAGAUGAACUUCUCACUUGAGGCAGCCACUACUUCCUUGCUAAUAUCAGUUUUGUCGAGGGAGGAAUAUCAGCACCAUGCAAAAUCCCUGCCUGAAAAGUAUCAUUUUCUUAAGGAGAUCAAUAAAUGAGGAUUUUUUUUCAGAGGAAUUGGAUUCUCAACUGUGUUGAGACAUCUUUAUUCUCAACUGUGUUGAGACAUCUUUAUGUGGCGCGUAAAUUUGUUGGAGUGACUAUGUCUGUCUAUUGCAGUGAUUAUUUCUGUCUCAUGCUCUAAUUUACUUACCAUAUUCUACGGUCUCCUUUGUUUAGAGAAAUGUUAUCAUGAUAGUGCUCUUCGGUAUGAAGUUUAUCACCAAGGAAAAAUUAUCUUAUUUUCAGUUGCACUUAUCUUUAUAACAGGGAUCAAUUUACAUGUUAAUGGUUCAAGAAAGUUUGGAUGCUUUUUGUUGCAUAAUUUUCAGGUUGGUCAUGCUAGUCAUGGAAUCUCAAGCACCUAUUCUGAACAAUUUUCAGUGAGAUCAAAUGUAUGCUGCCAUACAAGCACAAAAAAAUAUUUUGCCCAACAAGCUGAAAUUGGCCUGAAUCUGGCAUACUUGCGUGGUACUCCUCCAUUUCUCUUUCAGUCUGCAUAACGAUCUCUAGAAAGCUUGUGCAAGAAUGCAUCAGAACAAGAUUCCAAGCCUUCGCUCCAGUGGUAUAUAUAAAUGGACGUCAUUAUCUGAAUGUCACCACACAAAAUGCGCAACAGAAAGAACACCUCAAGUCCCAGUUUCUGAAGGAACAAUCACUGGGAGGGGAGACGGAUGGAAGGGAAGAGACUUGCAGCUGCUGCUGUGUGGUGCAUGCUCGUCAUGCUGUCCGUGUCAGGCCAGCAGCAGGUGGCCGGAUUCACAGGGGGUUCUGUUGGUGCUUCGGCAGCUGCUACCCUGGCUGCAGGGAGGGCAACCCAGCGUGGCUCUGCACAAUCAAGUGCGUGGAGUCCUGCACCGUGCCCAUCGCCGCGUUCGGUGCCGGCGACUGCUCCAAGAUCUGCCUCGCCUCCAUCUGCGGCGCGGCCGAGACCGGGACAACUGAUGGCGGUGCUGCAGCAGCUUGCGUUGAUGAUUGCACCGUGAACUGGAACUCGUCUACUACUAUACAUGGCACUCGUCUCCAAUACGCAAAGCCACACCUCAGUCACAGUUCUUGGCCCAAGUAAACUGUGUGUGCCGUUCUUUCAAGAAAAGGGGGAAAAAACUCGUGUGGCACCCGGAACUAAGACGAGCUGCAUUGUAGCCAAAGGAAAUUCUGAAGCCAUGCAUGGAUACAGAAAUGGAAACUCCAACCUGUCCAACGGAAAGGGUUUCAGGUUGAGGUCGAGGUAUCAGAGAUCCAAUGUGACGAGGAGCAACGACAACCACCUGGUCUCCCUGACACUCAUCUCGCUCGUUCUGUUGAUCUCCGAAUCAGAUCGCUCGCCGUCCUAUCUUUUUCUUGUGUUUUCUCCGGAAUUUCUAAAUAAUUCUCACAGAAUUUCUACUGCU